rnacentral:rRNA from 1 species
GCGAUACAGGGUGACAGCCCCGUACACAAAAAUGCACAUAUUGUGAGCUCGAUGAGUAGGGCGGGACACGUGGUAUCCUGUCUGAAUAUGGGGGGACCAUCCUCCAAGGCUAAAUACUCCUGACUGACCGAUAGUGAACCAGUACCGUGAGGGAAAGGCGAAAAGAACCCCGGCGAGGGGAGUGAAAAAGAACCUGAAACCGUGUACGUACAAGCAGUGGGAGCCUCUUAAUGGGGUGACUGCGUACCUUUUGUAUAAUGGGUCAGCGACUUAUAUUCUGUAGCAAGGUUAACCGAAUAGGGGAGCCGAAGGGAAACCGAGUCUUAACUGGGCGUUAAGUUGCAGGGUAUAGACCCGAAACCCGGUGAUCUAGCCAUGGGCAGGUUGAAGGUUGGGUAACACUAACUGGAGGACCGAACCGACUAAUGUUGAAAAAUUAGCGGAUGACUUGUGGCUGGGGGUGAAAGGCCAAUCAAACCGGGAGAUAGCUGGUUCUCCCCGAAAGCUAUUUAGGUAGCGCCUCGUGAAUUCAUCUCCGGGGGUAGAGCACUGUUUCGGCAAGGGGGUCAUCCCGACUUACCAACCCGAUGCAAACUGCGAAUACCGGAGAAUGUUAUCACGGGAGACACACGGCGGGUGCUAACGUCCGUCGUGAAGAGGGAAACAACCCAGACCGCCAGCUAAGGUCCCAAAGUCAUGGUUAAGUGGGAAACGAUGUGGGAAGGCCCAGACAGCCAGGAUGUUGGCUUAGAAGCAGCCAUCAUUUAAAGAAAGCGUAAUAGCUCACUGGUCGAGUCGGCCUGCGCGGAAGAUGUAACGGGGCUAAACCAUGCACCGAAGCUGCGGCAGCGACACUAUGUGUUGUUGGGUAGGGGAGCGUUCUGUAAGCCUGUGAAGGUGGCCUGUGAGGGUUGCUGGAGGUAUCAGAAGUGCGAAUGCUGACAUAAGUAACGAUAAAGCGGGUGAAAAGCCCGCUCGCCGGAAGACCAAGGGUUCCUGUCCAACGUUAAUCGGGGCAGGGUGAGUCG